CAACGCUUAGAAAACUGUAUAUUUCAUCGAUUCAUGAAGGUUGGUGGAAGGAGUCGACAGCAUUCUUAGGCCAAACUUACUACUUAGGGGUAAAACUUAUGCAAAUGUAUUGACUUUGAGUAGCAACGCUUAGAAAACUGUAUAUUUCAUCGAUUCAUGAAGGUUGGUGGAAGGAGUCGACAGCAUUCUUAGGCCAAACUUACUACUUAGGGGUAAAACUUAUGCAAAU